GUUCACCAAUAAAGAAGUCAAGUCUAUGUUGAAAAGAUCUACUGCUCUUGAAUACAAGCUGCACCGAACAGUUCAGAGUAAAGACGAUUUCAUUACAUACAUACAGUAUGAAAUAAACGUCCUAGAGCUUAUCAAGAAGAGGAGAGCGAGAAUUGGAUACCAUUUUAAGUGGGAGGAAAUUGAGAAUCCCAUCAUUCAUCGCAUAAACCAUGUUUUCAGAA